CCCGCUGAACUUAAGCAUAUCAUAAAGCGGGGAGGGAA
rnacentral:rRNA from 1 species